CACGUAGGGCGCAAGCGUUGUCCGGAAUUAUUGGGCGUAAAGAGCUCGUAGGCGGUCUGUUACGUCUGCUGUGAAAACCCGAGGCUUAACCCUGGGCUUGCAGUGGAUACGGGCAGACUAGAGGCAGGUAGGGGAGAAUGGAAUUCCCGGUGUAGCGGUGAAAUGCGCAGAUAUCGGGAGGAACACCGGUGGCGAAGGCGGUUCUCUGGGCCUGACCUGACGCUGAGGAGCGAAAGCGUGGGGAGCGAACAGG
rnacentral:rRNA from 1 species